GACGAACGCUGGCGGCGUGCUUAACACAUGCGAGUCGAACGGAAAGGCCCUGCUUUUGUGGGGUGCUCGAGUGGCGAACGGGUGAGUAACACGUGAGUAACCUGCCCUUGACUUUGGGAUAACUUCAGGAAACUGGGGCUAAUACCGGAUAGGAGCUCCUGCUGCAUGGUGGGGGUUGGAAAGUUUCGGCGGUUGGGGAUGGACUCUCGGCUUAUCAGCUUGUUGGUGGGGUAGUGGCUUACCAAGGCUUUGACGGGUAGCCGGCCUGAGAGGGUGACCGGCCACAUUGGGACUGAGAUACGGCCCAGACUCCUACGGGAGGCAGCAGUGGGGAAUAUUGCACAAUGGGCGGAAGCCUGAUGCAGCAACGCCGCGUGCGGGAUGACGGCCUUCGGGUUGUAAACCGCUUUCGCCUGUGACGAAGCGUGAGUGACGGUAAUGGGUAAAGAAGCACCGGCUAACUACGUG
rnacentral:rRNA from 1 species